UUCGAUCAGUAUAGCGGGAAAAUGUUGUAUUCUCGAUAUGGGAAUCGUCAAUUUUCGGUAGGCCGAAGAAAAUCUAUCCAAUCAGAGGACUGAGUUGUGGUCAUAUAUAAGGUGUUUUUUCUGUGGUAGCUUCACUUCUAGCCGUCGUAUUGACCGUGUAAACUACAUUUUUCUAAAUGAUGAUAUUUAUCUGUUGUACAUUAUAACAAAAAUCUUGAUUUUCGAAAACAGUUUUUUAAAAUGACGAGGUCCGACGUCAUUAUCCUGAGAUAGGCUCGAGCAUUGAUUCGGGCACAGGUUUCCGUAAUACGGUUUUUCCUGGUCGGCCUUGGCUAUCAAUGAGGG
rnacentral:lncRNA from 1 species